AACGGCCGUACCAUGCUGAAUAUACCGGUUCUCGUUAGAUCACCGAAGUCAAGCAUCAUUGGGCGCGGUCAGUACUUGGGUGGGUGACCACCGGGAACACUGCGUGCCGUU